GCGAAAAACCAGACUCCUCUAGUUCAAUAGGCUCCUUAUACUCUCUUGAUAUGGCUCCCUGCGACUUCUGGCUGUUUCCCAAAAUCAAGAGGCCAUUGAAAGGAGCGCGAUUUCAGAAUAGAGAGGACAUUAUGGCUGCAACGACAGCUGAGCUAAACUCCAUUCCGAAAGAGGGCCUUCUCGGAAUGCUUCCAACAAUGGCAGCACUGCUGGGAGAAGUGUGUGGAGUCCCAAGGAGACUACUUUGAGGGCGAUUAGGUUUGCAACGCUCCAGUUAUGCCAGUUUUUUUUUUUUUUUUCUCUUCCGCCAAAGGUAGAAUAUUUUUCUAACAGACUUCGUAUAUGCUGCAUAGAUACAAGGCGCGAACGCAGUAAAUAAGCCAGCUGCAGCAUAUACAUCCACACAGCAUCCCGCAAAUAUCUUUUUUUUUUUCCAGUUACUGCCCGUCUGGGCAGAAACCUCAGGCAGUAGUGGGGAGCACAUCUCAUUCAAAAUGUGUGCGAGGAAACUUCGCAUUCCAUACUGCCACGGCGCGAACACGGGCGCGAUCCGAGAAAUAGCGGUGGUCAACAAAGACAAAUGCGCCUGCGUGUGCACACAUCACCGACAACUCAGUAGAUGCUGAAGAUGCCUUGGAUCAGUCGAACACUGCGUGUUAUCAGGACAUCGAAAUAGGAAGAGAAAGAAAAAGUGACGAGAAGUAAGAUGACUGCCAGUUUUGAUACGAACUGUCGCAAAUUCUAGUGUUUGUGGGUAGCUCAUUCCAUCGGCUGACGGUAAGAUGAAAGAUAGAAUGUUUAGAUGCUUCCGCUCUGCAAGAGUAUUCGUUGAAAUUUUCAGUGCGACUGCAUCGGGUAGAAGCAAUUCUACACGUAUACUUCAUCUUCCAUGUGUCAGUUUGAUUAUGAUCUAACAUGCGUUUCAGUAAUUCUUGUUUCCGCCGUACAUGCUAAGGUUCAGGCUGGGCAUCUUUUAGAAGUGUACUAGCACAAGUGUAUAUACUGUGAGAAUUAUAAACCUUGCUGCCUUCCUUCGCACGUUUUCUUUUUUUUUAGAUUAAUUUGUGUGCAGGGAUCCCAAACAGUACACGCAUAAUCUAAAAUCGGCCGAACAAAGGUUUUCUACACUAAGAGUUAUUUCGCGCAUCGAGGUGCCUACCCUUUACAGGUAGCCAACUUGCGCAUUGCUUUCUUUUCAAUGUACGAAACGCAUUCGUUCCAUUUCAAGUCUGAAGUCAUUAAAAUUCCCAGGUACUUAUACGUCUCUAGUGCGGAUAACUCAUGAUCAUUCGUAGAACAUCUGCAUUUAGAUGGUUUUUGCUUGCGCGUUUUCGUUAUUGAUACGGUAUUUUUCUCAUUGAUUAUCAUCUGCCAAUUGGCGCACCACGACUGGACAUUUUCAAGUGACCUGAUUCUUAGGGCUACGGAUUUCUUAGUACAGUCAUCUGCAAGUGAUCUUACUUUGACGGAAACUGGGUGAACAAUGCCAUUAAUAAAAAUUAGAAAGAAAGGGCACCCAAGUACCGACCCACGUGGUAUUCUUGACUGAACUUUGCGAGUGCUCGGAGUUUUCACCUUCCAUAACCACUUGUUACUUGCGAAAGAUAUAUGCUUCGAUAUAUGCUUAAGCAGUGGGUAAAGUUUUGAGAAUAGUUUAACUGGAUCGAAAGCUUUUUCUAAGUCUAGAAAUAUUAUCAACUUUACCCUGCUUAUAUAAAACAGGCUAUUUCAUAAACAUUUUCUAGUAAUUGUGCUGUAGUUGAUAGGCCUUUCCGAAAUCCAUAUUGUCGGUGAUCAAUAAGGUUAUCAGCUUCUAAAAAUGCCGAAAUAUGCUUGAAUACAAUAUGUUGGAGAAUUUUUACACAAGAAAACAACGAAAUUGGCCGAGAAGGAGAGACUACUUUUGGGCGGUCAGUUUUAGUAGAUAUGUGGGGAUUAUCUUUCUAAAUUUGCAGUAGACAGACAGCUCUCACUUUAGCAAUUACUUGAGGAUUAAUUUAUCUGACAACAGUAUCGAACAAGAAAGGCGAUGCCGUCGACUCCAGGCGAUUUCUUAGCGUCAAUGUUGAGUAAAAGAUAUUGAGAUGUCGCCGAUAGGAAGUAUAUUAUCAAAUGAUCUGACGUUUUACCGCUAUCGUUUGUAAAUACUGAACAGAAAGUUACAGGAUUCCGCUGUUGCAUGCUAAUCAGUUACAACUUUGGCAUGUAAGUACUUAGGCCCGAAAUGCGCCGGAACUUUUCUGGGGACAAAAGAUUGUUCAUCGCACAAUUGUGAUAAUGAUCCUCAGCAUUGUCGAUGCUGAUCAGCAGCUGUGUGCACACAGCCGUAAGCUUUUGCAUUGCGCUCGUUGAUGGAUUUCGCCUAUGUUGCUUUCUUAUUUGCCUUUCAUUACACGGAUACACUGGUUACGCGCUAAGUUUACUUUAUUUCAUUGGCACGAAAUCACGCACGCAGCGUGUCACAAGGUUCUUUAAGAAACACCAAAGGUCGUCGACUGAGCACGAGAGAAACGAAAAAUAAGAAUACGAUGCAUCGGCAGUUCGUGCUACAUAUCGCUUGCGCGUGAAACGACAGAAACUGUACGCAUCACUUUCUCAAUCAGAUGUUCACUUUGCUUUCUCGGGCAAAGAGUAGCACAAGUAGAAUUGUGGCAUUCUACGGGUGACCUUUAAAAAUUAUGUUAACAGUAAAAUAAAGCAACCCGUACAGUCUAUCACAACUGAGGAAUCGUUCUUACUUUCGGUAGUUUUAUAUAAAUUUAUUUGGAACGUUCCAGCCAAUGCACAGCUUUAUAUAGAUCCUACCAUGGAAAGAAAAAAAAAAUGCACCGCGCAUCGCCACAAACGCAUUAUGUGUUUAAACCGAGAUCGCUUUUCGCCCAUAUCCCGCAGACUGUUAGGCCGGCAAUAGCUACUAAAAAAAAAAAGAAA